UAAGGAAUAUUGGACAAUGGUGGAAACACUGAUCCAGCCAUGCCGCGUGAAGGAUGACGGCCCUAUGGGUUGUAAACUUCUUUUGNUAACGGGAAAACCUCUUUACGUGUAAGAGCUGAUUGUACUGUAAGAAUAAGGAUCGGCUAACUCCGUGCCAGCAGCCGCGGUAAUACGGAGGAUCCAAGCGUUAUCCGGAUUCAGUUGGGUUUAAAGGGUGCGUAGGCGGAAUGAUAAGUCAGUGGUGAAAGCCUGCAGCUUAACUGCAGAACUGCCAUUGAUACUGUCAAUCUUGAGUACAUUUGAUGUGGGCGGAAUGUGUCAUGUAGCGGUGAAAUGCUUAGAUAUGACACAGAACACCGAUUGCGAAGGCAGCUCACAAAACUGUAACUGACGCUGAGGC
rnacentral:rRNA from 1 species